GACGAACGCUGGCGGCGUGCUUAACACAUGCAAGUCGAACGAAGAGCGAUGGAAGCUUGCUUCUAUCAAUCUUAGUGGCGAACGGGUGAGUAACGCGUAAUCAACCUGCCCUUCAGAGGGGGACAACAGUUGGAAACGACUGCUAAUACCGCAUACGAUCUGACCUCGGCAUCGAGGAUAGAUGAAAGGUGGCCUCUAUUUAUAAGCUAUCACUGAAGGAGGGGAUUGCGUCUGAUUAGCUAGUUGGAGGGGUGACGGCCCACCAAGGCGAUGAUCAGUAGCCGGUCUGAGAGGAUGAACGGCCACAGUGGGACUGAGACACGGCCCAGACUCCUACGGGAGGCAGCAGUGGGGAAUCUUCCGCAAUGGACGAAAGUCUGACGGAGCAACGCCGCGUGAGGGAUGACGGCCUUCGGGUUGUAAAGCUCUGUUAAUCGGGACGAAAGGCCUUCUUGCGAAUAGUUAGAAGGAUUGACGGUACCGGAAUAGAAAGCCACGGCUAACUACGUG
rnacentral:rRNA from 1 species